rnacentral:ncRNA from 1 species
ACUGAGCAUCAGGAGUGGGCGCAAGCCCCGCCAACCUGCUUACCCAAGCAAGGUGGUUCGAGAAUGUGGCCGUAAGGCAACCAAGUGGGUUCUC